GGGAAAAAGUGAAGCUGCCAGCAUGAUCUAGGUUUGGUUAGUGGGAGCUAGAGAUCAAGUGCUAACCCUGACUAGGUCAUGCUGCGCUAGCCUCACUCCUUCCU
rnacentral:pre_miRNA from 1 species